GAUGAACGCUGGCGGCGUGCCUAAUACAUGCAAGUCGAGCGAAGCGGGGACGGGUGAGUAACACGUGGAGAACCUCCUAUAAGACGGGGAGAACUUCGGGAAACCGGAGUUAAACCGGGUACCUAUAAUAGGAGCUGCGCUGCUUUAGGUAGUUGGUAAGGUAACGGCCUACCAAGGCAACGAUGCAUAGCCGGCCGGAGAGGGUAAUCGGCCACACGGGAACGGAGACACGGUCCAGACUCCUACGGGAGUCAGCGGUGGGGAAUCUUCCGCAAUGGGCGAAAGCCUGACGGAGCAACGCCGCGUGGAGGAGGAAGGUCUUCGGGUCGUAAAACUCUGUUAGUAGGGAAGCGGUACCGAAACAGAAAGCCCCGGCUAACUACGUGCCAGCAGCCGCGGUAAUAC
rnacentral:rRNA from 1 species